GGCUCUGUAGCUCAAUUGGUUAGAGCGCUGCACCGGAAUCGCAGGGCCGUAGGUUCAAUUCCUACCAGAGGACCU